AAAGUGGAUUAGUGGCGGACGGGUGAGUAACACGUGAGUAACCUGCCUUAGACAUUGGGAUAGCCUCGGGAAACCGGGAUUAAUACCAAAUAAAAUCAUAAUGACACAUGUCAUAACGAUCAAAACUCCGGUGGUCUAAGAUGGACUCGCGUCCCAUUAGCUAGUUGGUAGAGUAAAAGCCUACCAAGGCGACGAUGGGUAGCCGGCCUGAGAGGGUGAACGGCCACAUUGGAACUGAGAAACGGUCCAA
rnacentral:rRNA from 1 species